CCAACAACAUCUGGAGGCACACUGGUUGGGAAAGGCUGGUUUAGAGGAAGGUUUGCUUCUCUCCCAAUUAGAAGUGGCUAUUUUUUCACAUGAGGGUAUAUCUUCCCAUAAGAAGGUUGAGCUACAGUAUUGGCAACUUAUAUACCGUACAUUGCAUUCUCUUCAGUGGAGAUAUUUGUGGGAGACUCAAGGCUGGCUGCUGAAAUUUGAAUAUUAUGAAUCUCCGAAGAAGCACUGAAACAGUUUAACAAUCUGGAAUAACUGUCAUCUGUACAUCACUGUGUCAUUUUCCAUUGCCUGCCAUCAUUGUAUAUUCUUUCAUGUUACUACACUCACUGUGGCAGGAUUCUGUAUUGUUACAUAUUGUUGUUUCAGGUCCCGUGUUCUGGGCCUCUCAAUAUAAUUAUCCAUUCUGUUAUUCACAGUCAUUGUGCUUGCCUUUAUUAUUUUGCUAGUUUUCAUUUCAGCUGCAUGCCACAGUGUUGUCCAUUUUCCUUUGCAAUUUUGGGUAGUGACUUUUGCUGUGCAUGUUGUGGUUGCCCUACGAGCCUUCUCUUUUUGGUUGGCAGCUUCCUAUUUUCCAAUGUAAACGGGCCUUGUGUUUUGAGCAUCACGGGUUUUAAGCAAAUGAGCUCUUCAUUCCCUUUAUCUCUUUUGAAUCCUUGCUAUUUUUCAAUAUAAGUAUGUGUGCUGACUAGCUCUGCUUAUCUGCUGCUGUCUUCCAUCUGCUCGACAAUUAGGUCAGGAGCAUUCUAGUUUUGCUCAUUUUUAUCUCGAUUAUUUCCACUAAGUUGCAUGUCAUCAAUCCUGAUUCUCUUUGUUCUCUCUCUCCCCUCCCCAAAACUCUUUCCCUUAGCAGUCCCUCAGAUGUGCAGUCCCAUUGGAAAAUGUUUGUUUUUCUUUUUAAAUUUCCCUGGAAACCUGAAGAAAACCCAUCACGGGAAUGUUGUCCAAUUUUCCAUUCCGCCUCCGCCAAGGAAACUUGAGCUAAAUAUUCUCUUCUUCGGUAACCUCAUUCCAUUUUCUCUUAGCACCACGUACUGGCAGAUCAAUAAAG